rnacentral:rRNA from 1 species
CCUACGGGUGGCUGCAGUGGGGAAUAUUGGACAAUGGGCGAAAGCCUGAUCCAGCCAUGCCGCGUGUGUGAAGAAGGCCUUCGGGUUGUAAAGCACUUUCAGUGGGGAAGAAAGCCUUGGGGCUAAUACCCUCGAGGAAGGACAUCACCAACAGAAGAAGCACCGGCUAACUCCGUGCCAGCAGCCGCGGUAAUACGGAGGGUGCGAGCGUUAAUCGGAAUUACUGGGCGUAAAGCGCGCGUAGGCGGUCUGAUAAGCCGGUUGUGAAAGCCCCGGGCUCAACCUGGGAACGGCAUCCGGAACUGUCAGGCUAGAGUGCAGGAGAGGAAGGUAGAAUUCCCGGUGUAGCAGUGAAAUGCGUAGAGAUCGGGAGGAAUACCAGUGGCGAAGGCGGCCUUCUGGACUGACACUGACGCUGAGGUGCGAAAGCGUGGGUAGCAAACAGGAUUAGAUACCCUUGUAGUC